CUCCUCUCGUCUCAAUUCUCAGCAGCCUCAGUCGCUGCCCGUGCCACCCACACGUCCUCGUCGCCCAUGGCGGCUCCCGUCCGGGGCCUCCAGCUACCGCCGCCCCUCGCCUACCCCGGCACGUCCCGGCGGCGCCUUGCCCCAUCCACGCGAGGACGCCGCAGCCGCAGCCGGCGACGCAUCCACGGAGUCCGCGCGGCGGCGUUAGAGGCGGCGGAGGGUGCUUCACGGGCGACGGAGCCCGUGGAGGUGGUAGGGGUCGGGAGCCGGAAGGACGCUGUCAUCGAUUUCUGCAUGGGCUCCCGUACACUGUCCUCCACCCCCAUCCGCUUCUGGACUGUACAUGUGUUGGAUAAUUCUAGAGUACAGUUAAUACAAAAAGGUCAUGGAACUGAUGCAGUGUUCAGAGACCUGGAACCUCCGUUAUUUCUUCAUCCCUGCCCACCUGCAGUUAUUCUUGUUUCAAGUGCAGGACAGGAUACUGAUCAUAUUAUGGCAAUGGAGCUUCUUAGUGCUGUCAAAUCUGCUGGUAAUCUGGCUGCUUCAAUAUUUUUGAAGCCAUUCUGCUUUGAGGGACAAAGGCGGCAAGUAGAGGCAGCUGAUUUGAUUGGCAAACUUCGAACAUGCUCAAACUUUCACAUUGUUAUUGAAGCUGAUUCAUUGCUUGAGACGGAAGUGGAAACUCUUGCUGAAGCUUUGGAAAGUGCCAAUAAUGCUGUCCUGUCAACUAUUAGCAUGAUAUCUAUCAUGAUGUCUGGUUAUAAUAAGAUGUUCUGGAGUUCCCUUAAUGCACAAAUUAAGGAAGUUGAUCCUGAGGAAGUAGCCAAGCUACUACGAAGCUAUGGCGAAGCUAGAGUUGGCUUUGGUGCUGGUUAUAACAUCCAGUCAGCAAUUAAGCAGGCUGUCUUCCACUGUCCAUUUCUUCGUGGUGGCAUAAAGGACUUGAACAAUGUGGUUUUCCUCUCCCUUACAACUGCUCGUGUAUUGUCUGAAAGUGACAUGAUCUCCAUUCUGCACAUCUUUCGUCGAGUCACUGGGUUCAGCAAAGACAUUAUAUUUUCAAGAAAUUCCGAACCAGAUUUAGAGCCAAAACUGAUAGUAGUUUCUCUUCUAACUAUCCGAAACCACUAUGACGAAAGUGUUGCUACAGUACAAGAGGGCUUUCUUUCAAGUUUGGCCUUGCAUUUUCCUUUUAUAACCUCUCUUAUGGGAGGAGAUAUCCCUGAGCAGAAACAAACUCGGCAGAAGCAUUCAUUUAAUCGACUGCCUGACAACGGAUCUAAUUCUGUAGAACGAGAAUUCUCACAACUUUCUAAUGGUUCUUCUGAUGCUACUGUUUCAAAAAUAUCUCCUGAAGAAAUUGAGGAUUUGGAAUAUGAGAGGAAUGGGAGAAUAAAACCAGAAUCUCUAGAAGGUAAUUUUCUAGUUGCUGAAGAAUUGGGCAAAGAUAACAACAGAGAGCAUUUAGGUUCACAGCAGGAGCAUAAUUUCUUGAGCAACUCCCCUGGUUUUGGCAUUGCACAAUUGUGGGCUAAAGAGCGCACAAUGGCAAGUGGAAGCAGUAAAAAUGAUGAGCUUGAUAUUGUCACUCUUCCUGUUGGUGUAAAACUUAGCAAAGUUCAGUCUGAUCAUUCUCCAAAUACGCAGCUUGAAACUCCUGAUGCUGGCACAACUGUAGCUACUGGACAUGCUGCCUUUGCAGCAACAUUUUCUGAUGUUCGUUUGGAGAAAGUAAUGGACAUGUGUAGUUCUGCAGUCACAUUUCUGAGGGGCAGAAUGGAUAGGUCUCGAAAGCGUGGCUCAAACUCAAUAUCCAGCCGGGCUGCACUGAUGCUUGAUGCAGAAAGAGAACCAGAAAAGACAUGGAGCCCAGUUGUUGAAAUACGGUAUAGAGGGGGAAUUUAUAGAGGUAGAUGCCAAGAAGGUGUCCCUGAAGGAAAGGGACGUCUAACCUUCAGUGCUGGGAGCUUUUAUGAUGGACUCUGGAGGUAUGGUAAGAGAUCUGGUUUGGGGACUCUCUUUCACAGUAAUGGUGAUGUGUAUCAUGGAACAUGGAGGGAUGACCUUAUUCAUGGAAAGGGCUGGUAUUAUUUUCACAGUGGUGACCGCUGGUUUGCAAACUUUUGGAAAGGCAAGGCUAAUGGCGAGGGUAGAUUUUAUGCCAAGGAUGGGAGUAUCUUCUUUGGCCAUUUCCAAAAUGGAUGGCGCCAUGGGGAGAGCCUGUUGGUGGAUGCAAAUGGAUUAAGGUGGAUUGAAGUUUGGGAUGAGGGUGUACUUGUUGGCAGAACUAAAAUGGAGAAAUAGGGUUCGGAUCUAAGUAGAUUUUCCAGAUACUGGCGAAAUUUGCUUCUCAGAUGGUAGGAGGCUAUGCUUCAAAAUCUCAGAUGUUGCAAGGCACUCUGGUCUGAUGAAUGACACCUGGUAUUCUGAGUUUGGGUGUUUCAGUGGGCUAUAGGCAAAUCUGUGCAGACAAUGACAUCCCCUCUUUUUGGUAUGAAUAAAGGUAACUUUUGAAGCACAAUAGAGCUAGUUUAAUCAAAUAUUCAGCGAACUGACAGCUUAAGAGCUCAAGUGCGACUCCCCUUCUUGAUCUGGACGGUAUCAGCACCUACCAAUACCAGAUUCAUUCCAUUCACUGGCUUGGUGUUUCAAAAUCAGAGUAAGCGACAGAAGGUCGGGGUCUUGAGUAUCCAAGCUACGCCUGCAUGGCAUAAGAAAACCUAUCUGUUGUCACGUCCCAAGUGGUUCUAGGGCUCUCUUGCGUGCAACCGCUGCUGGCUGAUUGCUAUGCUGGUAUGUUUCAGCAUUUUCGGACGCAAGUGGCUGCGGAUUGAAGUCGCACGGCAACUUGGCACUUCGCCAGCCGUGAAUCUAUGGGCAUGCAUUUUGUUUCCCCUACCAAUCCGGUCAUGUGUCUCUUGCGUCAACCUCCAUCGGUGCAUUUCGACAUUUCGUGGCCCCAGAAAAAAAAAGGAUCAAUUUGUGUA